UGCACAGGCUGGUCUGGAUCCAUGCUGGUCACAAAGCCACUAUGUUGGUUUACUCAUGGCCCAAAUAUGUAAGACGAUCUUUCGGAAGCAUAGAACACAGCCAAGAUAAAAUAGUAGCAGAUUAAGUCUGUUCACGAGAGCGAGGCAAUAAACUGUGCAACACCCACCACAUUCUGUACUGUUGCCAGUUUAGCGUUUUGAAACUUUCGGAAUUAUUUGCAAGACUAUUUGUAAGAAGAACAGAUACUUUUACAACACUGCAAUUUGCUUUGAGGUCUUACAUGUGUUUUUAACUCCUCCGCUAUUUACAGAUUGUAAUGUUGACGACGGAUUUUGGCUGAGAGGUUUUCAGAUUUGUUUUUGUACUUUUGAUUUUGAAAUUUGUUUCAAUGUUAAAUGCUAAUUCUAAUAAUGUUUCAGUAUAUAAAAGAUUUUGGCACGUUAAUGCUGGUUUUGUUGCGACAGCAGUUUAAAUAUAGUCCUUUGUCGUAUUCACUCAGACUUUUACAAUUGUGCAUGGCAUAUCGCCAAUCAUUACAAUUUAUAACUUUUGACACAUUAAUGGAAUUUUAGAGACAUUUUUCAGUAACCUAUAAUCCUAAUUAAACAUGAAAUUAUCACGCAGUAAGGCAUGACCAGUAUGUAUCUAUUUGAGAUUUAUAGUAAUACUAGUAAAUCAUAACUUCAAUGUAAUUCCCCAUUAAUUUCACUUUAGUUAACUAUUGCGUCAUCCUAAUGUUUACAAACAUUGCUCUAUGAAGAGCUAUCAUUUACAUAUAAAUGCUAUAAUUACGGUCAAAAUGUCAAUAUGAAAAUCCUAAAGCAGUAAAUUGGUUGUGUACAAUACACACGUAUUCUUUUUUCGCAAUCCUGAUCUUAAAAGUUUAUUGUUAUGAUACAAGUACAUUUUAAUCUAGUCAAAAUACAGGACAGAGUAAUUUUACUUUAAAAUCAAUAUUAUACAAUCAUCCAUUAUUCAACAAUAAAGUGGAUAUUUUAACCCAAGUUUUGUGUACGUUAUAUUAAAACUCGACUUUUCCUAUAAGAUAGUGAUACUAUGUGAUAUAAGGCCCUUAAAUUGACAUAGGGUCGGUGCAAGUGCCAGUGCCCUGAAAACCCACUGAAAAAUUAUGUGUAUCAAUAAUGCAUCACACUAUUUUUUCUGUCAUAAAAUUGUAUUCAUUUAUUCAAUUUUAACCAUUUUACAAAUAAUGAUGCAACAGUGUUCGUUAUUGAUUUCCCCUUUCAACAGCCAGUAUUUUUCUGAUCGGAACAAUUGUACUCAGGUCAUUCAAUCAGUGAUUGGUUAGCAUUUACUUAUUGUUUAAACAUGUCGUCGUAACUGAUUAACCAAGAAGCAAAUAAUUGACUUAUGUUUUCUUAGAAUCCAACCAUAUCAGCUGGAAACAUCAUCAAAAGUAAUUGUGAUACAAAUUUGCUCCGACACCACGCGGGUAAGAAUAAUUUCAAUUGAGUAUAAUGAUAAUCUUGGAAUUCUACUCAUUUUAUCUGGAAACAUUACCUUCAAGUUGAAAUAUAUUCAAAAUGUGUACAAACGAUGUAACGCGAGUCCCAGGUAAUGUGAUGAGGUCUUUAAAGUACUUUUUACUUUUGGGCUACUGGAUGGAAUGCUACCAAAUUUUACUGGAAUCGGCCCCAUAUUGUAGAUUUUGAAUGAUUGAUACGAGUAUUAACCCCUUGGUCGGGAUGAGGUCGCCAGUUUCCUCCAAACAAGUCCAGCCAAAUUUGACGGGAAACAAGCUUUUGAGUGAAUGCGUUUAAAAGUCCCUUACAAGUGGUAAAAAUGGCCUUUACCAAUGCCCAUACCUGCAGCGAAAGUGUAGAAAGGAAUUUCACUCAGACCACAGGACAUGUUCCCAGGAAUUUAACAAAAUUUGUUUUUGGGAGACGGAAUUCAAAAUUGUACAAAUAUAGAUACAUAUAUGUUCGAUUAUACUGUAAUAGGACAUGGUCGAAAACAGAUCUUUGCUUUUUAAAAUUUUCACGUCCCGUCACAUGAAUCGAGUUUGCUAUCAUUUUACUCGGUUGCACUAUGGGCUUCAUAUGUUCAAAUUUCUGUUCUACUGACAGAUUAAUUAUGGUAUUGACCGAAAUGGACUGUAUUCUUUUUAAAAAGCAAGUGACUUCAAGGUCGUCAUAUGGUCAAAUUUCUGUUUUACUGUAAUCAGAUGGACUGUAUUCUUGAUAAAAUGCAAGUGACUCUAGGGACUUCAUUGUAAAGUUGCCAUAUUUCUGUAUGUUCAUGUAAAAUCAUUUAUUAUUAUUAUUGGUGUUGUUGUUGUUUAGGGUUGCGGUCGAGAAGAUAAGGCUUUUGACUCUCAUUUAUGUGGGUUGGAAACCUUGCUCUGGGGUGUAGACCUCUUUCACAUGACUUAGGAAACUAUCCAGCUGACCUGAGGACCUGAGGCUCUAACCAUUUUCACGCAAGUGUCCGAAAUUGUUUUCGUUGGGGCAACUGUCAUGAAAGCUGGAAAAUCGCCAUGUAAGUGUGUCGGUGUGAUGUUAAAGCCCAACAAAAAGAAAAGACAAAAAACAUGAUUAUCAUCAUCAUCAUCAUCAUUACUAUCAUUAUCAUAAUUACUAUUAUUAUUAUCACUAUCAUCAUCACUGUUAUCUUUAUAAUUUCUUCUUCUUUUUAUCAUUAUAACUAUUACUAGCAGCAGUAGUAGUAACAGUAGUUUGUGGUUGAACAUGAUCAGCAGAUGAUUCCUAUUGAUUUCAAAGGUCAAUGUCACAGUGAUCCGGAACAGUUUAACGGUUUCAGAUAACUCAAUAACUCUAGGGCCUAGCAUAAUAAAAGUUGAUAGUGAGGUUGGUCAUGACCAGUAGAUGACCCUUAUUGAUUUUGAGGUCAGCAGUCUAAAGGUCAAGGUCACAUUGAACCGCAACAUUUAAACCGUUUCCGGACGAUAACUUGAGAAAGCUUUGGCUUAGGAUCACGGAACUAAAUAGGGAGGUUGAUCAUGACCAGCAGAUGACCCUGUUGAUUUUGAGGUCAAUAGGGCAAAGGUCAAGGUCACAUUGACCCAGAGCAGUAGAACCUUUGUACACAGUGACCAAAUAAUCUCUAUUCCUUGUGCAAUUACUGAAUGCAUCAAGGUGGAGGGAUUUUGUGUUCUACUAGCGCUUGUUUUGAUUUUCGUUUAAUCUGCGCAACCACAUGUUAAAUCAAACGUUUAAAGUUAAUGCAGUAAUAAUAUAAAAAACAUCCAUAACGCAGUUCCGAACAAUUUUGAAAUUUUCGAUUUCUACCAGUAAGAGAAGUAUUUUUGAGAGUCCCUCGUUCGUAUUUGAUAAAUAUAUAAAAUAUAUAAAAAGAAUUAGCAAAUAAAGAUUUUAAAAUGCAAAUAAAGAGCCUUUGUGUUCUUUAUAUCAUAAAAUCUUUGUUUGAAAUAUUCAUAUUAGAAGUUUAACAUCGUGGCUAGUUAGGGUAUAUUUAUAGUUCGAUAAAAUGCUGUUCUAAAUAGUGUUCUAUGUUUCUUUAAAACCAAGAUGUAUUAAAUCAGAAGAAAUAGACUGACCUUCUAUGCCCGCUUUUUGUCAAUUAGAUUUAAGCAACAAUUUAUGACAUUUGUCAGUUUUCGCAUAUUUUAUAAUGAGAUUUAUCUAAGGUAGCAAAUUAGGUACAUUACAUAGAGUUAGAUCCAUAUUAGAAAUGUAUGUUUGACAUUUUGUAUGACAUUUUGCCAUUACCUUCCUCCAAUAUAACAUUAACUGAUAAGCAGAAUUUUUUUUAUUUCAAUAUACAUUGUAAUCAUUGGUUGUAUAUUUGCAUUUGAUACUGGGACAUUUCAGUUAUAUGAAACAAAAGACAAGCUAUUCGUCUAUUUUUAAGCUUAAACCAAUGUAGGAAAGGGAAGUAAUGGCAAUUCUACAUACUUGCACUUUUAAAGAAAUUUGGCAAAAUGUAUGCUUGUUAAUGGAACUCUUUGAAAAAUAUAAUAUAUUCACAUCAUUCUAUAGGUAAAAUAAGAUUAUUGAAUUUAUACUUUUGCUAAAUUAUCUUUGAUGGCCAACCGGGAUAUGCAAAUUUAAUUUAAAACUGCAUCAAGUAAAGACUACCAUUUAUUAAGAAAUCAGUGAACACAGUUUAGUGUAAGUUGUCAAUUGUUAAAGUUUUGAGCAAAUCUAUUGGCUGACCAAGAUCUGAUUAACCACCUUUGAACCAGAAUUUACUUAUCUCUUGCAAAUAAUUAAUAACUACAGAAUGACGAGAGAAAAUCACCAUCUGGAUUGAUUUUAGAAUCGUUUUGCAGUUAUAUACAAAACCAUGCGUCACUCAUGUAGAGUGUCGUUUGACGGGGUAAUGUUCUCUUCCUAUAGGACGAUAGUCCCUCAGUUUUUGUUUUAACUAGAAAACUUAAAUUGAAAGACCUUAGACAAAAUGCGUUUAACUUGCGACCUUUGGAUUGAAUUUCAAAGCAAAUUAUUUAGGUUAACAUGUAGGAUAACCUUUCAUUAUCACUUGUAACAAAACAGAUUUUAUUUGAACUGGUACUAUUUGCAUAAAUUGUUUGAACAACCCUCUUUUUAAGCAUUACGUUCAAUAAGAAUAUAGGCCGCGAUUUCAUAGCAAAAAAUGGUUGAAAAUAAUACUCCUAGCAAACGAAAUAAUGUCGUCCAUACAGCUGGUCGUUUCAGUCUUGUUGAUUGUUACAGUGUUCGGUGACUGUCCUAAUGGAUGGAUAAGAAACGACGGUAGAUGCUACAAGUUUCAAACAGAAAAACAAAACUGGCCGAACGCAAGGCAAAUGUGUAAGUGGCAUGACAGUGACCUGAUGGCCAUAGAAACAGUAGCAGAGCAGAACUGGUUUGUUCAGCAGGCCCUGACAUUCAAUCAUUCGGAUGUUGACGACGGAUUUUGGCUUAAUGGUACUGACUGGAGUGAAGAAGGCAAUUGGGUGUGGAAGUCAAUUACUGAACCGUUUAGGUACCAAAUAUGGGGUGACCUACAACCAAACAACAGGAACAAUAGUGAACAUUGCCUUGCUGCACUCAAUUUCUUUACCUAUGCAUGGAGCGAUGAAUGAUGUGACUGGGGUAAUCUACAAUACGUCUGCGAAAAACCAGAACCUGUACGUUCCUGGUAUCAUUUCUUUUUCGGACGUUAAGCAACCACAGUUAGAAGAAACAACAUUUACAAAUAAACAAAGACUCGUUCAAUUGUAAUUUUCAAAUUUUUGUUUUUGUAUUUUUGCUUUCACAUUUUGUAUCGACAUGUUUAUUCUUAUAGAGUGUUAGUUUUGAAAAUGUUUACCAUGCUAAAAUUGUGUAAAUUGUUCUUUUGUCCUAUUCAGAAAAUGGUGUACAUGCAAUAAAGAUUCCCUCCUGACACUUCCGCUAGUUCAGUUAUUAAUUAUAGGUUAAUAGCUCCGUAUAAAAAAUCCACGAGUACUGUAUGGGAAAUAUUUCGCGACUUCAGGAGCGGAAACUUUACGCGAAUUCAGGAGUGUAAACAUAGCGGAAACACUGCGCGACUUUAGGAAGAGAAAAACCCGCUUAAGAACAGGGGUUAAGCUAACAAUUUAUUUAUCACAUGCGUAUUAAUAUACUCUGCUGUAUAUAAAAGUGAAGCAUUAGUUCAAUAUCUGGAACAAAAGUAGAAAUAUUGCCGUAAAUAAACAUUUUAACGGGUUGACAUCCAAACAAUCAAGAAGAAAAUAUAUCAGAAAAUAACUGUUAUAAUUCUUAAGAAGGAUUUGAUAAUUCGUUACUGACAUAUUUUAUGUGAUGGAAAUACUUGAGAAUUGGUUGUUUUUAACUUUUUACUAAUAUAUCCAUUCAGAAUUGAAGAGCGUUUGUAAUGGGGUACGAUUGUAUGUAAAUAAGUAUGUAUGUAGUUACUGCUUACUAAAACAAUAGUUGUGCACAAUUAUUACAUACUGUAAGAUAUCCGGACAGUAUAAAAGAUUUUGCAAGUGCAUUCCAGGCACGCCUUAAUUUGUAACCGACAUGCACAGCGACAUAGGCAGUUAAUACUAGAAAAGGGAUGGACAAAAACUGAAUAUAUUUUCAAAACGUUUACCGUUUCGCUUUAAGGAAUGUUUAUUUUGAAGUAUAUACAAGUGUUUAGUAAAUAAUAAAGCCAACAUCUAAUAUCGUUAAUUUGUACCUGACGUAUUGACAAAAGUUACAAUUUACAACAUUUGGCACAUUGCCAUGCUGACAUGUUUUCAGGACGAUACACUACGUUUUUAAUUAACGUACUUGAUAAGAGUAAAAUAUAAAUCAUGCACUAAAUGCAUGCUCAGUUAAUAAUAACCCGGUAUGUAGUUAUCUUAAUUUUAACUUGAUGACGGCCUUGAUUGAUAACAAAACAUAGGAACAUAAAUAAUACAAUUCAGAAGGACUGUGUUCUGUUCAUUCAUAAAAUGUGUAUCAACUUGAUAAAAUACGCAUGUGUAUUUACUUCUAUUUAAGUUAUUCUUUAAAUAUGUAUUACUGCGUCAUUCAAAUGUUUGUAAACAUUGAUUUAUAAAUAGAAACAUCUCAUUUAAACUAACAUCUUCUGGUUUGUAAUCGUUUACGUAAAAUUAAAAUUAAAAUUAAUGCACAUAUUUAGCGAUGUUUAAAUCAUACUAUCAUCUUUAUUUUUAUUUUGUUAAAGAGCAAUGAUAUAAAGAACAUCUGGUAAUAUACGUUUUAGUGUGCAACUUUUUAAAAAUAUGAUAUUGCGCAACAGUUCAUACUCAUGCUGCAUGUAUGUCAGUUUGCUAUUGUUAUAUCUGCUUUUAAGGAGAACUAGGAGUAUUUAAAUUUUAUACUUUAAAUUCUUGCUUAGACUAUGAUUGUACACAUUAAAUUUGUACAUUUAUUAGUAGGAAUAAAAUAAGUUUAAACUAACAUGUUUUUCGGUGAUUUAUGGAAAGUUUAGAGUGAAAUAUAUCUGAUAUUUUGUAAUAUGUAAUAUUUUGUAUUCUGCAAUCAUGUAUAAGAUAUAUACCAUGCAUAGAAAGAACUUCUUCAUCUUCUCUAGUCGCGCGUUCACCAAGGUGGUUUACGGUAUGAACAUUUCACUAGUGACAAGAAAGCCUCUUUUAAAAACAGUACUAUUACCAAUGUCUCAAAAGAAUACUAAGUCUUGUGAACUUAUGUCUUUGGAAAAGAAAAACAAUUACACUGCUGCUUUUAUUGUCAAAAGCAAAAUGUGCUGAUUCGUAUGUAUGUCAGUACAUUAUGAUUUAAGUCCAAUCUACUAGUAAUUACGAUUCAACUGAUUUAAAUAUUUUUCUUCGCCUGAUAAAUUGUUAACAUAAGAGAAUAUCCAGAGAUAUUUGUCCAAUAAACAGUAAUUGUCAAAUUGUAAUAUAAUAAAAAGAUCUUGUCUACGUGUCCUCGUGUGGCCGGGAUAAAGACAAAAGGGCAGGAAAGGACAACAAAAUAGCGAUUUUAUGUUUUAUACCCACCGACAUGACAUUUUGACGAUAUAAUAUUUCGUGUCUUCGCUCAUAAAGUUUUGUUAUUUCGCCUUCAAUGUUGCCCUCGUGUCUGAGGCCAAGAAAACACAACAAAUUAGCAGUGUUUUUGUUCUUUUGCAUCUUCGCGUCUUCGUGUCCUCGCUCCGAAGACAUGAAAUGGCAGAAAUCAGGCACCAUAGUAAUGCCAUUUCAGGCUAUUUUAAUAGGAUAGUCUUUUAAUAUAUCACACACUGUCUUCGUUUUUUUGCAACCUUCCAAUUGUACGACUUGGUUUUCAGCUUGUAGUUAUAAGGAAAGAAAUAUACUACUGGAAUAUAUUUUCAAAAUUUUUACUUAAACAUGUGCUAGUAUAUAUUCAUUAACAAACACAUAAAGGGCUUUAGAAGCCUUCCGUACAACUUAGUAGUAAACAAAUUUGGUCUAACCUCUAUUAUCGGAAUAUAAUAUAACAAUUAUUUUUGCACUUAACAUGACCUACUGACAAAGUUUGGAAUUUAUAACGUUUGGCACUUUGACAGAAUUAAAUAUUUCCAGUAACCUAUAAUGUUCUUUUUUUUACUUAAAGGGUACGCUACUAUUAAUAUAUCAUGCAGCAAAGGCAUGUUCAGCUUUUAAUUCAACAUGUAAAUUUCUAUUAAUGAGAAACUUUAUUUACAUAACAUUUGCGUUGUGUAUAUUUAUAACACUUUCGUUAAAUAUUGCGUUAUUACAAUGUUUGUAAACAUUGAGUUAUAAAUAGGAACACCUAUUACAAUUUAACUAAUUUCCAACUUAAUUCAGGUCAGAUUGGCCAACUUCAUAUUAAAACUUUUUGUGUUGUUCUGUGUUCAUUUAUACUUCGGAAUAAGACAUAUUUGUAUGUGUGUGAACUUAGCCAGAGCAGCCAGAGUAGCCGGAGUUCAGCCAGAGUUUAGCCAUAGUAGCCAGAGUUCAGCCAGAGUAGCUAGAGUUUAGCCAGAGUAGCCAGAGUUCAGACAGAGUAGCCAGAGUAGUCAGUACUCUGGUUACACUGGCUGGCCGGAGUUUAGCCAGAGUAGCCAGAGAAGCCAGAGUUCAGCCAGA